GAUGAACGCUGGCGGCGUGCCUAAUACAUGCAAGUCGAACGAGUUCUGAUUAUUGAAAGGUGCUUGCAUCUUGAUUUAAUUUUGAACGAGUGGCGGACGGGUGAGUAACACGUGGGUAACCUGCCCUUAAGUGGGGGAUAACAUUUGGAAACAGAUGCUAAUACCGCAUAAAUCCAAGAACCGCAUGGUUCUUGGCUGAAAGAUGGCGUAAGCUACCGCUUUUGGAUGGACCCGCGGCGUAUUAGCUAGUUGGUGAGGUAACGGCUCACCAAGGCAAUGAUACGUAGCCGAACUGAGAGGUUGAUCGGCCACAUUGGGACUGAGACACGGCCUAAACUCCUACGGGAGGCAGCAGUAGGGAAUCUUCCACAAUGGACGCAAGUCUGAUGGAGCAACGCCGCGUGAGUGAAGAAGGCUUUCGGGUCGUAAAACUCUGUUGUUGGAGAAGAAUGGUCGGCAGAGUAACUGUUGUCGGCG
rnacentral:rRNA from 2 species